UGGGGGAUAUUGCACAAUGGGCGAAAGCCUGAUGCAGCGACGCCGCGUGGGGGAUGAAGGCUUCCGGGUUGUAAACCUCUUUCGCUAUCGAACAAGGCCCGCUUAGGGUGGGUUGAGGGUAGGUGGAGAAGAAGCGCCGGCUAACUACGUGCCAGCAGCCGCGGUAAUACGUAGGGCGCGAGCGUUGUCCGGAAUUAUUGGGCGUAAAGGGCUUGUAGGCGGCUUGUUGCGCCUGCUGUGAAAACGCGGGGCUUAACUUCGCGCGUGCAGUGGGUACGGGCAGGCUUGAGUGUGGUAGGGGUGACUGGAAUUCCAGGUGUAGCGGUGGAAUGCGCAGAUAUCUGGAGGAACACCGAUGGCGAAGGCAGGUCACUGGGCCAUUACUGACGCUGAGGAGCGAAAGCAUGGGUAGCGAACAGG
rnacentral:rRNA from 1 species